rnacentral:ncRNA from 1 species
GAGGUCCCUUCCGACCCUAACAUCUAUGAAUCUAUGAAGAUUUACCAAAAACACAGCUCCCAGCCCUCUCAAUAUUGGGGGUGAUGCCUGCCCAAUGACUACAAGUUAAAUGGCCGUGGUAUUUACAACCAUGCAAAGGUAGUGUAAUCACUUGUUCCUUAAAUAAGGACCAAUAUGAAAGGCUAAACGAGAAUCUAACUGUCUCCUGCAAGCAGCCAAUGAAAUUGAUCUCCCUGUGCAAAAGCAGGAAUAACUCCACCAGACGAGAAGACCCUGUGAAACUUUAAUCAACUAAGUCAUAUCGACAACAAUAUAAACCGCAAGGGUCCACAGCUGUUUAAACCCAUGACUUAGCGUUUUUGUUUGGGGUGACCUUAAAACAGAGAAAAACUUUUAAGACAAGUCAUAACAAAGUUGUGAUUAUUCACCGAGACCCACAGCUCAAAGUACUUAAAUGUAAUUAGAUCCGACAACGUCGAUCCAUGAACCAGGCUACUCCAGGGAUAACAGCGCAAUCCCCUUCAAGAGCCCCUAUCGACAAGGGGGUUUAUGACCUCGAUAUUGGAUCAGGACAUCCCAUUGGUGUAACUGCUAUUAACGGUUUGUUUGUUCAACGAUUAAAGUCCUACGUGAUCUGAGUUCAGACCGGAGCAAUCCAGGUCGGUUUCUAUCUACGACCACGCCUUUUCCUA